UGGCGCGGCCUUCUUUCCGGAGACCGCGGCUACUCUUAACUGAGCGGGCGUGGGAGACGGAUCGUUUACUUUGAAAAAAUCAGAGUGUUUCAAGCAGGCAGCUCGCUCUUGCAUGGUACAGCAUGGGAUGAUUGAAUAGGACUCCGGUGCUAUUUUGUUGGUUUCGAACACCAGGAGUAAUGAUUAACAGGGACAGUCAGGGGCACUCGUAUUCCGUCGAGAGAGGUGAAAUUCUCAGACCAAUGGAAGACGAACCACUGCGAAAGCAUUUGCCAGGGAUGUUUUCACUGAUCAAGAACGAAAGUUAGGGGAUCGAAGACGAUCAGAUACCGUCGUAGUCUUAACCAUAAACCAUGCCGACUAGGGAUUGGAGGGUGUUCGUUUCGACCUCUUCAGCACCUUACGGGAAACUAAAGUCUUUGGGUUCCGGGGGGAGUAUGGUCGCAAGGCUGAAACUUAAAGGAAUUGACGGAAGGGCACCACCAGGAGUGGAGCCUGCGGCUUAAUUUGACUCAACACGGGGAAACUUACCAGGUCCAGACAUUGUUAGGAUUGACAGAUUGAGAGCUCUUUCUUGAUUCGAUGGGUGGUGGUGCAUGGCCGUUCUUAGUUGGUGGAGUGAUUUGUCUGGUUAAUUCCGAUAACGAACGAGACCGUAGCCUGCUAAAUAGUCCCGCGAACUUCUUGUUGGCGGCCGACUUCUUAGAGGG
rnacentral:rRNA from 1 species